UUGAUGACGUCAUCAUUACACAUCGAUAUGACGGGAGAGGGAUGCAUAGACAGGGCAUAGACAUAGGUGGAUUUUAGAAAGAUCAGUAUGGACGAUAUUCUAGACGAAAUUGGACUGGGAGACGUUAAAGAAAUCUUUAGAAGAAAUCGGUUGCAACCAGAAGAUAUAAAAAGCUUAACAGAGAAAGAGUUUGAAGACCUAGGUGUUAAUACGAUAUGAGACCGGGCGCGACUGCGGGAAAGAUGCAGGGAUAAAUGUGAAGCCGAUGAUUCACCUUGUUUAAUGCGAGUUCGGCAUUUUCAAACGCAAAGGAAAGGGAAAGGGAAAGAGGGGUUUACAGUACAAUGUAAACAGGCAGGAGAAAAGUACGAGGAGAAUAUUAUUUGGAUGGAAGCAUAUGUCGAAGAAAUCGUAUCAGCUGAUAACAGCAAAUAAGGGCGGCGGGAGUGUUGUUCUUGAUGUGCCGAAACAGAGCCUUAUAGAUUCAUUGAAAGAGCAAGUAACCGAACACUUUAUCCCUGGUGGAGAAAAUAAAAUACAGGGAUUAAAAACGGAACAUCUCAUAUUGUUCUUGGCAACGUUCACAGGAGAGGAGGUAGAGGGAAACCUAGUAGAUGAUAUACUUAAAAACUUGAAGUCAUCUCCUAUAAGACUGUACCUGCAUUCCCGCCAAAAGACCUGGAGCUGAAAUUGCACAGUUUAAAGAGGGAGUCAAUGAACUGAACAAUAUGUGGGACUUAAUACAGAUGUACUCGCAUCUGUUUAAACAGUUGUUCUGCUACCCAGCUGUGCCAUUGAAAAAGGAAGACUUUGACGAAAUGAUGGAACCUACUUAUUCAGAACCAGGUUCGAACAUGAGAUAUGAGGACGACACGAUGUACAGCUAGGAGCUUUUCCUGCAAGACAUACAAGAUGGAAGUCUACCACUUACAUUUGGGGAACUUAUGUCGUUCAUUACGAGAGCUGACCACAUUCCGCCAUGCGGCUUCUGCCAAAAAGUUGUAAUUAGUUUCUACGACCAAACAGAUGGAACAGUUCGGUACCCGUCAGUGUCAACAUGUGCAUUCUAUCUAUGGCUCCCACGAGGAAUGGAUAAUGCAAAGGAUUUUGCAGAGCUGAUGAUGGAUGCCGUGAAAAAUUCUCACGGUUUUCUAAAAAAUUAAUGCCGUUCAAUUUCAGUUACAUUUUAAGAGGAGUAUCCUAACAUUGGAGUAUGUGACGAUUUCAGUAAUAGAUCCGUUAAUUAUUGAAAGGAAACAAUUUUUUAACGUUUUAUUUUAAUGUCACAAGUUAGUGGUCUUGAGACUGUUUUAAAGUUUAGUUCAGACUGUUGUAUUUAAAUUUUAACUGUUAAUUGUACCCCUGCCCCCACCCCCUGCACAAACGAAGUUGUAAAGGGGUAUACUGGUUUCAGGUUGUCUGUCUGUCCGUUAGUCCGUCCGUAGACGCAAUAUGUUUUCGCACCACAUCUCUGAAACCCCUUGACACAAUUUAAUGAAACUUCACAUAAGUGAUCAGUACCAACACAGGUUGUGCUUAGGUUCUUUAAAAAAUUGUGUGCAGUUAUGGGACUUUGUUUUUCUUUGUUACCAUGCUCUAUGCAUAGUCUGCAUAUGCAAUCUUGUGCGCGCCGAAUCUGCUUAACCUUUGAACGCAGUUUAAUGAAACUUCAUGCAAGUGAUCAGUACCAAUCCUAGUUGUGCAUGGUGCAUGAUAGGUUCUUUCUGAAAAAUAAAUCUGCAGAGUUAUGGGACUUUGUUUUCUGUGACCAUAUUAUUUACAUAGUUUGCAUAUAAUUUAUUGAAACUUUACACAAAUGGUCAGUACCAACCUUAGAUGUGCGCAGUGCAUGUUAGGUUUUUUUCAGAAAAAAAACUUGCAGAGUUAUGGGACUUUGUUUCUUGUUACUAUUUUAUAUACAUGUUUACAGUCUGCAAAAUUUUGCAAUCUUGUGCGCGUCAAAUAUCCUUAUAUUUAUAUAAGACUCUCUUUUUUUCCCUACAUAGACUUUUUGUGACGUCUUUUAAAUGCAAUAUACCGUGUCAAUGCAAGCAGGGGUUAUAUUCAUCACCUUCAGUGAUAGCUCUAGUUAACAGCUGUCAUCUACAGCGUGUGAAGGAUUACACAUAUAUCUAAUCUUAUGUUUCCAGUGGUGUAACAUGUCACUUUCGGAGAUUUGCAAAUUGUCUAUGUUAAGAGAUUGUCUAUUACGAAACGAUAUUUGAAUCCAUUACAAAUUUUGAAAGUUUAUUGUUUAUUCACCCUAGAAAAUUAAUGCAUGUGUGAUUUGAUCAGCGUUAGACAUGGUAUUACAUACAGCUGAGUACAUUUCUAAUGAAUAUGUUGUCACAUAAUUGAAACUUAUGUACGCGAGUUGCAUAGUAUCGUGGCAUAUUUCUGCCGUAAUAUAACCACUAAA
rnacentral:lncRNA from 1 species